rnacentral:tRNA from 1 species
GGAGAGGUGGCUGAGUGGUCGAAAGCACCGCCUUGGAAAGGCGGCAGGCGGGAAACUGUCUCGCGGGUUCGAAUCCCGCCCUCUCCG